rnacentral:misc_RNA from 1 species
UGUGGGAGGGGGCUUGCCCCCGAUGGCGGUGUGUCAGCUUCAAAUAGACUGCUGACAGAUUGCUAUCGGGGGCAAGCCCCCUCCCACA